rnacentral:rRNA from 1 species
CAGCAGCCGCGGUAAUACGAAGGGGGCUAGCGUUGUUCGGAAUUACUGGGCGUAAAGCGCACGUAGGCGGAUUGUUAAGUUAGGGGUGAAAUCCCAGGGCUCAACCCUGGAACUGCCUUUAAUACUGGCAAUCUCGAGUCCGAGAGAGGUGAGUGGAAUUCCGAGUGUAGAGGUGAAAUUCGUAGAUAUUCGGAGGAACACCAGUGGCGAAGGCGGCUCACUGGCUCGGUACUGACGCUGAGGUGCGAAAGCGUGGGGAGCAAACAGGAUUAGAUACCCCAGUAGUCCCUGUCUCUUAUAC